rnacentral:rRNA from 1 species
AACCGCGUAUGGCUCAUUACAACAGCUAUGAAUUAAUUGAUUAUGACAUUUUUCCUCUAUGGAUAACUGCGGUAAUUCUGGAGCUAAUACAUGCAUUAAUGCGGCGUCACUAGUUGGCGCCGUGCACUUAUUAGAACAAAACCAAUUCGUUGAUUUUGUUGACUCGGGAUAAUUUUAUCGCUGAUUGCAUGGCCUUCGUGCCGGCAAUAUGUCAAAGCUGUAUCUGCCCUAUCACACUUCCAACGGCAGUGUCUUGUUCUGACGUGGUUGUGACGGGUAACGGAGAAUUAGGGUUCGACUCCGGAGAAAUAGCCUGAGAAACGGCUUUUACAUCCAAGGAAGGCAGCAGGCGCGAAAAUUACCCACUCUUAGUACGAGGAGGUAGUGACGAGAAGUGACAAGACCUGUCCCUUCGGGGGCGGGUCAUUGGAAUGGUUAGAAUUUACAACCUUCCAAGAUUAUCUAUGAGAGGGCAAGUCUGGUGCCAGCAGCCGCGGUAAUUCCAGCUCUCAUACUGCAUUGAAUCGUUGUUGCGGUUAAAAAGCUCGUAGUUGGAUUGACACACGGUGUCUGUGGACUGCUCCUAGUGAGUGGUUCUGCAGCACGUGUUUAAUGUCGGUGUGUGGCUGACUUCGGUCAGUUACUGCUGAUGAGUUUACUUUGAAUAAAUCASAGUGCUCAAAACAGGC